GUGAGGGUGACCUGGCUGUGACACUUGCCACCCCAUUGAUCACCGAGGCCAGUUCCACUGAUCUGGCUGGCCGGGAGGGUGUCCCCUUCCUCCCUCACUGC
rnacentral:sRNA from 1 species